GGACAGGAAGUUCAUCACUCAGAAAUUGUGUGUACGAGUGCAGAAGUGUCACACAACCUGAGAGCAUCGACAUGUUUUUAAAACAGGCUACAAAAUGUCUUUUAUUUUUGACUUUAAUUUAUCUCCCACAUACAGAUGCGGAGUCUAUCAGAGCAGUUGAAGGAACGACUGUCCAUCUGCCCUGCCUCUCACCACCUGAUAACAGUGAACAAAUUACUGGAAAGUGGACAAAAAAUAGUGCAACUAACAAAACUAUCUGUGAAUGGAAUUUUAAUAAAAUUACUGGAUCUUCCUCCGGUGAUUGCAUUCCUCAUUUUACAUUCAACAGAACGUCUUUUACACUAAGUAUAGAAAAUGUUCAGCCCAGUGACUCUGGUAAUUACAGCUGUAAAACAACAAGAUUAAUGCCACCACCGACAUUGGACAACAUCUCAUAUGUGACACUCCAUGUUGAAGGUCUGUCCCUGCAGCUCCUGAGCAGCAGUAAUGACACCUGUAUUCAUCUGCUUUGCUCUCUGGAGAGUCUGAACCCUGAGCUGGUGGACUUCACCUGGAGUGGAAAGGAUCAAAGGUCACUUCAUCCAUCCACAUCUUAUGACAUGAAGAGUGAGCUGCAUCUGUGUAAACCUGACUGGAGUGAUGGAGAGACAAUCACCUGCCAUGCUAACUACUCAAAUAGCCAAACCCAAACAAGUAUACAACUCCCCUCACAGCAUACUUCUGACAAAAAAUCCAGCCAGAAAUCUCUGAUUUGUGUGGUCCUUUUCAGCACCUUCAUCAUCUGCAUCGUCUUCAUCUGGAUGUUCUUCUGCUUUUCCAAAUAUAAGAGUGUGACCUGCUGCAGUGGACCAUCAACAUGAGAAACUUAUUGUAUAAUUCUGUUUCUGUAAUUAUAUAUAUAUAUAUGUAUGUAUGUAUAUUACACAAACACAUAUACAGUAUAUAGACUAUCUCUGAUUAUGUCAUCAAAGUAUCUCUGAACAAACAUAAUAUAAUAUACAUCUGUAAUAUACAGAUAAUUCUCCUGUCACCCAGUUGUAUAAAACCAAACUUUUUAAAUAAAAUAAUAGCUAGCUUGCCCUUAA